CCGCGCCUGUGAGUGGCUCUAGGGUGGGCAGUUUGGGACUGUCCUCGACUCUUCAGCAGACCCUCGUUACUCCUGAGCCUGCCCUGCCCUUGAUUAGCACAGCCCAAAUGUAUCCAAAAGGGCAGGACUAAAAUAGGGACAAGCCAGUGCAGGGUUUCAUACUCAGCAGCACUACCCCAUGAUCUACAGGGAACCCAUGUCUCUAGCCUGUACCCCUCCAUGCCCUUCUCUAUGCCUCCAAGGUCUUAUCAGAGCCCUGCUCAGCAUGUCUUAUGAGGCACCUAUCCGUCCUCUUGUUUAGUUAUGGAUAAGGAAUCAUGGGGAGGGCCAUGCCAGGCAAAGCCCAUGGUGCCAUACCCAUACCCUUGGGACCAAUGUCUUCCUGGGUAUUAUAUACUUCUCCCUGCUCCAGGCUAGGGGGAAGUAAUUCUGGACUUAUUUGGAGGUUAGCUACACAUCCAAGCAGUUGUCUUGCUACUCACAGGCUCACAGUGGGAAAUUCACAUGCAACAUCCUUCAGAGCAAAGAACAGCUCCUGGGGCCCUGCCUUGGGCUCGCCUUGCUCUAGGACAGGAGUUCAGGGCUGGAUGUUCAUGUGCUGUAUGCAUGCUUGCUGACCUGCACGUUUCUGUAUCUACAUAUGAACCCAGACACUCCUGGGUGGAAGGUCUUUUCCACAUAGCUACAGGCACCUUUCUUCUGUUUUUAAGGAGGCAGAGACAGCAUCUGAGUGAGCAGGUAGCCACAUACUUCUUUUCCAACACCUAAAACCAGAGAGAACCCCUGCUGUCCCAAUCAACCCUACAAUGUGCACUUGUUAUUUGUGCCUUAGCCUUGUCAUCCCUCGGUCCCCACCAUUCCCUGCCCAGUGCCAACAACAUGUCUUUGCAUCUCACAAAUCCAGGGGCCAUUAGCCAGGCUGUCAGAUGGCCAGGCAAUUCAAUGAAUAAGUGACCGUCAGGACCCCUGAAGUGUCUGCUCCCUUUCACUGUAUCCCAGCAGGCACACCAGCCCCAUUUUUAUGUAACGUGAUAGUAAAAGCCUGAGAUUGGCCUACCCAUCCACUUCUGUCCAUUCCACAGUAGCUCACCUCUUUCAGAAAGCCAACCUAGCCAAGAACUAUGCUUCGUUCUGGUGGCAGGGAUCAGAUGCCCUGAGAUGGAGCUGUUGACCCUGAGAAGAGCCCACAGGAGCCCAUGAGCCUCUCUGCCUCAACACUCCACUUCAGCCAAAACCAAGUACAUGCUUUGUUCCUGAAUGUCCAGCCUGACCAGAUUGCUCUCCCCAUGCCUAUGCCCUAUCAGGCUGUGCUGGGGGAAAGCCAAGGACAGAAAAAGGGGUGGGGGUCCCUCUACCAAGUGUCUGAGUUUGACAAAAGCUCCAAGUGGCAGCCCAGUAUUUGAGGGUCAGAGAAGAUGCCCUGCGUAGCCUACUAGCCAGUUCUUAACCCUGACAAGGGCUGCCACCGUCAGCUCGAGGCACUGUCCUUGGAUGUCCAGCUGGUAGUUGGAUGAGCCUGAGGAGCCUCUCCCCACGUCAUUCACCUUAUUCCUGCUGCUCAGCCUGUACAGUUAUGGCCUUGCCAAGAGUCCAUUUAUCCUCAGAGUAGUUUUGAGAGUGUGGUACUAACACAUUGCUGACCUUAUACUUACUGAACCUCCCAGAGGCCAGGGAGUUCCUUAGUAUAGAGAGAAGCAGCCAGGCCCCUCAAAGCCAGGAUAGCAAACUCCAGAGACUUAGAGAUACCAAUGCCCCACUGCAAGGACAGGUAUCUGGUUUGGAAGGUGUAUGAUUGAUGCUAUCUAGCUUGUGAGAGACCAGUUUCCCAUUUCUGCUCCAUGGUGUUAAAUACUAAAAAAAUGUACAAGGGGCAGAUCACAAAAUACAGCUAAGUGGGAGGGUUAAGGUCUAGGGCUAAGUAAUUCAGCAGGGCUAGCUCUGGGUCCCAAUAUCUCUCUGUCACUUUUAAAAUAGCCAGAAGAGCAAAUUGAAAUAUUCCUGAUCCCAGAGAAGUGCCCGAAGUGAUGGUACUCCUCUCCCUUGACUCGAUGACCACACAUUAUACAUGUGUCAGAACAGCACACCAGACGCACAGAUGCCCCCACAACUCCGGAACAGCCUCAGCCUCACCUUCUAGACAAGGCGGUGAUUGUGAAUGAAGUGGAAGUCAACUCCAAGCCCAGCAAGAACUUGGCCAGGAGCUCUGAGGCAGAGACCAUGCACCUGUCCCCCAGCCUCCUCCCCGCGCAGCAGCCUACCAUCUCCUUGCUCUACGAGGACAGUGCUGACACACUAAGUGUUGAGUCGCUGACCCUUGUGCCCCCAGUCGAUCCCCACAGCCUCCGAGCCCUCACUGGCGUCCCCCAGCUCCCCGCACUGGCCACAGCAGGCACAGAGACCCCAGAUGAGGAUACUGCAUACCCAGAGCCUGCAAGUCCUGCAGAGCACUGAGUGGGCACCCGGGGACCUCCCUUUGUGUGUGUGGCCUGCCGGCAGGGACUCCAGUGCAGUCUGUGACAGCAGGACACAUCAGGAGCACCCACAGUUCUCCAUGGCCUUGGAAACUGUCCCUGACACCUCUUGCUGCAAGACAGCCAUGGACCAUUGGAGUUUCUCAUUUGCUCUGACCUCUUCCUGAGCAGGCUGUGUGUACAAAUCUCAGAGACAGCCUCCUGUGUACAAAUGACGGCAUUGGCCAGCUCAGAGGGGUCCGGGGCCAUCUCUGAUCCUGACAGCCCCAGGGGCACCCUCCUUCAGGCAGCUCCUUGUCUUCACUCCCAGUGUGCACGCAAGUGGACCAGGUUACUGUGGUAGCACUCCAUAGAGAUGCACCUGGGUAAACGUCUCUUUGGGGCUAUUUAUUUCUGGUUUUGGCAACAGGUGAAGAGAUUUACUUAAAAAGAGUAUUUGGGGGAGGGGCAAAAAGAAAAAGUCCUCAAACCCUAAGACUUGGUGUCACAUAAGAAGUGUCAGCCGUUAGGUUCCCCUUGUGUAGAACUUGUCUGUGUUUUUAUUCUGAAGUUGCGGCUGUCACUUCCUCUCUUCCUGAAUGAUACUUGUUUCUCUGUCUCAAUCCUACAAGUCUGUGGGAUGAUAAAGUCUCUCCCUGAAACAUUCAGAUACUUCUGAACAAAAAGAGACCUGAGCCCUCUCAGGCCAUAUGGAGCAAGAAGGCCAACUUCUGUGCUAUCAUGUGACCUGGGUGACAUCUGCUCCCUGCUCAGGACACCACAUCGGCACGGCUUCCAGCAGGCUUGCUACCCUCUCUCUUCAUCUAAGAAAGAUCCAUUGGGACCAUGGAGGUCCUAGCCCACGUGGCUAUGACAGGAGUCAAAGGCACAGGAAGUCAUCCUCAGAUGUAACCAGCUUCCCAGUAUGCAGAUGGAUGCCCAACCAGAGGCCCAGCUGCAAAUCAGAUGACCCAAAAGCAGAAUCUUCCUCCACUGUCUGUUUCUGCCACUACCACACAGCUUGUUUCGGUAUGAAAAUCCCAUUCUUCUAGGCAUGUGCCAGCAAAACCCAUAUCUUCCUGUCAGCCCCCAGCCUGCCUUUGCACGCAGCCAGCCAGCCACGAUUCAUGGCUCUAUGGGAAGGCCUUCGGUGGCUUUCCUGCCGAUGUGGCCUCACCCAGUGUCGGCGUCCCCUUGUGGGAGGCACGUCACCAUCUGCACACCCCAAGUCCUUGCCACCCUGUUCGGCUCUCACCUCCUGCAGCCCCGUGCUCCCCAGGAGGGACUGGUGUCCAUGUGCACUGGCUUCUCCAGUUUUUAAAAGCACUCUGGUGGGCGUGCCCAGAGGCAGAAGCUCCUACAGCCUGCCAAGAAAGGCUGUCCCAGGAGGUUUAGCAGAGCCCCUGGAAAGGGAGAUGAGUGAUGGCACUGAAAAGAGGGGCUCUCUGGGCCCCCACAGCCAGCCCUGGGUAUUCCUUGGUCAUUCGCGGGGAGGGCUAGACAGAGGAGCAGGCACUUUGGGGUUCGAGAUGACAGUUGCUAGGACAGCAUAAAUGUUAUAAAAUGCAAGUGACUCUCCUCCUCCCUGCAGUGCGGUCAUGAGAGAAAUGCCUGCAGCCACCCCAACCCACCCAUGCAGGUGGGCUCCCCCUCUGUGACUAGCCUCUUCUCUGCACUCAGGAGGUUCCAAGGAAGGGGAAAGGUUAUGACCAAGGUGGUCAGCAAACACUGAAAGGACAGCUGCCAUGUAAUAUUCACCAAGGACAAGCCUGUUCCCCCACAGCUUGGAAGAUUGUCCCCAAAGGCUUCCUGUAGCCAGGCACCCAGGGGUACCUCCAGGUGAGCAAAUGGGAACUUCCUGUGAGCGGAGCUCCUUGGCCCAUUGCUGAUGAGGUCCUGGAGGAAGCAGCUAGCAGUUUCCUCACCUAGCUCUUGGUGGCAAUGGGCACAACCCAAUCCUCAGGAACACCCUACUAACUUGCCAGCUGCUCCCCAGGCAGACCCAGCCAGAAAGAACACAUUAGGUCUCCCCGGUCAGCAGGGAGGUAGAACUGAGAGGUACCAGGCCCAGAAGGGCACAGAGCUGACCUGGAGGUCCCAGAGUCAGCCUUCAAAACCAUUAGCCUUGUCUCUAAGGCCAUGCGCACCAUGCCUGCCCUGGUCUCUCUCCCUUCUGUCACCGGGCCUCCAUCUCUGCUUUGACUAUCACCAUAGAGAAACACAGCACCGCCCCGACCUGUUUGGAGGCGGGGCAUCAGGACCCUUCCCCCAGCUCAGACUCAGUGUAGUGGUGAGCUCCCUGUCUGGUGGAGGUGGUGGAAGAGGCCCCCAGAGCCGACCCUCUGCUAUUGCAGCCAGCCUAGCACCCUCCCAGAAACUUGCAUUGCCAGGGCUGGAUGACUGCAUCCCUCCCAAGGACAGCACUGGCUUUCUCUGUGGCCUCUGACACGCACAGCUGUAAAUAAGGCACGGGUAAACCAGGUCUGGUCUUUUGUAGAUGCAAUAAAUAUAUUUCACGCAGUACCAUGGGUAGAAGGUUAAAUGCGUCCUCUCUCCCUCCCUCCCUCCGCUGAAGCUGUGAAGAACUGUUGCAAAGUGGGGCAGGCCUGGGAAGCUCUGGCCAGGGAAGUGCCUGCUUCUGCCAGCAGGAUUUAGACUUUGGGGGCUGAGCCCAAGGGAGCCUCGAAAGCUAGAACUUCCUUGUAAAUUGGAACUUGGCAAUAAAAAGCAAAACCAA